rnacentral:snoRNA from 1 species
UGUAAGAAUAGUAUUAGAUUUUCACACAGCCCAGAUACUACAAAAAGUAAAGUUUUCCCUUGAAAUGACUUUUGAUGGUAUGCUGGUUUUAUUUUCAUGGCAUAUCAUUAUUAAAAGGGGCUACCAAA